rnacentral:misc_RNA from 1 species
GUUGAACAAUCUGUUGUGGAGAGCACAAUUCGACCGUGUUUGGUUGAACUCAGUGAGGACCCAGAUGUUGAUGUUAGGUUUUUUGCCAACCAAGCCCUACAAGCAACCAAGUGAUGAUGUUGUCUAGGUUAAAGGAAAUUGAAUAGUUCAAAUGUAGUUUUCUCCUUGUCUGUUGUCAAGUGUGAACGAAGAUGUACAAGAGCUUUUGUCUGUCUUUAGAUAUCAAAUACCAUUCUUGUCAAGCAAAUUUGGACAUCGUCUAAGAAAAGUUACUUCAAGUUAUGACCAACUUUUUU